GUAUAUCCAGGGGUCAGGAGUAGAGUAGGGUUAUUUUAGUUGGUAUAUAAUCUAAUGAUUAUUUUAAACCUGUUCACCAUCAAACCAAUCCAGAGGGUACAAGGGUGGAAAAACCAUGUUUAAGGCCGGAUUUGGGAGGAUCCCUAUGAGUGUAAGGGAUAAAAAGGUCAAUGGCUUGCUGCGUCCAUACCCAACACCCAGCAACGCAGCGGUGACUCGCCAAGUGUUUGGUUUCUAGUUUUGAGUCGGUUGAUCCACUUCCAUCUCUGACACGUGGAAACCGGAGGGGGGAAGGGAGGGGUUGCACUCCACAUCAUAUACGCGCGGGUCGGAGGGUACGGGCGCGGCCGGCCAAAGUCGUAGGCCCCAUGGUAGCCCACUUGUAGAUUAACCCGUUGGUUGGGUUAAAGGACUGUCUGUCUGUGGGGUUAGGGUUAGGUAUAGUUUUUAGAAUGGUUAAGGUUAGGGUUUAGGGUUAGGGUAAGAUAUGGUUAAGAAGGGUUAAGGUAAGGGUUAAGUUUAGGUAUGGGUUUUGGGAUGGUUAAGGUUAGGGUUAGGGUUAGGGUAAGGUAUAGAAAAGGUUAAGUUUAGGUAUGGGUUUUGGGAUGGUUAAGGUUAGGGUUAGGGUUAGGGUUAGGGUAAGGUAUAGAAAAGGUUAAGUUUAGGUAGGUCUGUCAACUCAACUUAGGAUCAGGCAAAGCCCUUGAGUUGCGUCCCUUAUGCAGGUCCGGUCCUCGGUUGGUUGCCAUGUGUCCAUGUCGAGUGGUAUGAUCAUGAUGUCCAGGUCCGCUAUGUCAACGGAGGUGGAAAGCAUAGUGCAACCUAGGAGUUUUACUCCCUUACGGAUCCUUCUUCUUUAGCUCCAUGUUGUCUAUGUAUCCACUUCAGUGUUCGUCAGUCUUUGGUCCUGGAUGUUAUUCCCUUCCAGGAUCCUAAUUCCAAAUCAACCCAUGUCUAGUCGAAUCCAGCUGGUCUGUAUGGGUAUACUCGGCGUAGGAUCAGGCAAAACCAUCGAGUUGCGUACCUUGUGCAGGUCCGGACCUCAGUCGGUUGCCAUGUGUCCCUGUCAAGUGGUCAGUCUAUAACAGCCA